AUACUUACCUGGCAGGGGAGAUACCAUGAUCACAAAGGUGGUUUUCCCAGGGCAAGGCUUAUCCAUUGCACUCCGGAUGUGCUGACCCCUGCGAUUUCCCCAAAUGCGGGAAACUCAACUGUAUAAUUUGUGGUAGUGGGGGACUGCAUUCGUGAUCUCCCCUA
rnacentral:snRNA from 1 species